CGGCAAUCCGAGGUGACUCGCGGGAAAGUGCCACAGAAAUCAGACCGCCACUGCGGACCCCUCGGGUGAUGCGGUGGUAAGGGUGAAACGGUGCGGUAAGAGCGCACCAGCGUUCCGGGUGACCGGAGCGGCUAGGCAAACCCCACCCGAAGCAAGGCCAAGAAUGUCGCGCGGGGGCGCGCGGCAGCGCAGGCGUUGGAGGGCUGCUCGCCCGAGUCUGCGGGUAGGCCGCUUGAGGCACCCGGCGACGGUGUGUCCAGAUGGAUGGUCGCCGCCUCGCUGCCGGACAGGCGGUGAGGAACAGAAUCCGGCUUACAGGCCAGCUCGCCCG
rnacentral:RNase_P_RNA from 1 species